AAGUCGUAACAAGGUUUCCGUAGGUGAACCUGCGGAAGGAUCAUUAACACGUAUCCAAACGUUAAAACAACCCUGUGAAUAUUGAAUCUCAGUUCCCCCAGGGCAGAAAAAUGGGCUUCCUCUAGUAAAUCAUUGUCUUAACAAGGUUUUGAGUUAGAGGAUGGCGCACGAGUAGCACCUGUAUUGGGUCGAGCGUUUACAACUAUCCACUCCUGGUGCCCCCAAGCAACCAUCAAUCUGAAAGUGUUUGGUGAAUUGUGCAAGGGCAGCGCAGUCAACGAUCGGUGGUCCACACGGCCAAGUUCAUUCAGGUUGAACAUGAUGCAUGUCUACCGCGCCCGACGAAAGUCCGACGCACCCCUAACCGAACAACUGUUAACAAUGGAUAUCUUGGUUCUC
rnacentral:misc_RNA from 1 species